GACGAACGCUGGCGGCGUGCCUAAUACAUGCAAGUUGAGCGCUGAAGGUUGGUACUUGUACCGACUGGAUGAGCAGCGAACGGGUGAGUAACGCGUGGGGAAUCUGCCUUUGAGCGGGGGACAACAUUUGGAAACGAAUGCUAAUACCGCAUAAAAACUUUAAACACAAGUUUUAAGUUUGAAAGAUGCAAUUGCAUCACUCAAAGAUGAUCCCGCGUUGUAUUAGCUAGUUGGUGAGGUAAAGGCUCACCAAGGCGAUGAUACAUAGCCGACCUGAGAGGGUGGGCGGCCACAUUGGGACGGGGACACGGCCCAAACGCCUACGGGAGGCAGCAGUAGGGAAACUUCGGCAAGGGGCGAAAGUCUGACCGAGCAACGCCGCGGGAGUGAAGAAGGUUUUCGGAUCGUAAAACUCGGUUGGUAGAGAAGAACGUUGGUGAGAGUGGAAAGCUCAUCAAGUGACGGUAACUACCCAGAAAGGGACGGCUAACUACGUG
rnacentral:rRNA from 1 species